rnacentral:rRNA from 1 species
GAGUUUGAUCCUGGCUCAGAACGAACGCUGGCGGCGUGGCUAAGACAUGCAAGUCGAACGGACUGGUCAAUUUAUUGGACAGUUAGUGGCGAAAGGGUUAGUAACGGAUAGGUAACGUACCCUGUGCUUUGGGAUAGCGUCAUCCCGACCUCGGUCGGGAUUUCCGAAAGGGGCGGUAAUACCAAAUAAUAUCAUUUGUCUAUAGGCAGGUGAUCAAAGAUUUAUCGGCAUAGGCGCGGCCUGCCUCCUAUCAGCUUGUUGGUGAGGUAACGGCUCACCAAGGCAGCGACGGGUAGCGGGACUGAGAGGUUGACCCGCAACAUCGGGACUGAGACACUGCCCGGACCUCCACGGAGGGCUGCAGUAACGAAUCUUGUGCAAUGGGCGAAAGCCUGACACAGCGACGCCGCGUGUAGGAGGAAGUCCUUCGGGAUGUAAACUACUGUCAGGGGGAAGAAAGUGCGCUUCGGCGCAUUGAUCUACCCCAGAGGAAGUCACGGCUAACUUCGUGCCAGCAGCCGCGGUAAGACGAAGGUGGCAAGCGUUGUUCGGUAUUACUGGGCUUAAAGCGUGUGUAGGCGGAGAUGUAAGCGUUGCGUGAAAUCCCCCGGCUUAACCGGGGAACUGCGUAACGAACUACAUUUCUUGAGGCAAGUAGGGGUGCAUGGAACUCUUGGUGGAGCGGUGGAAUGCGUAGAUAUCAAGAGGAACGCCAGUGGAGAAAUCGGUGCACUGGGCUUGUUCUGACGCUGAGACACGAAAGCGUGGGUAGCGAACGGGAUUAGAUACCCCGGUAGUCCACGCCGUAAACGACGCCUACUAGGUUGUGCAAGUUCUGACACUGGCACAGCCGAAGCAAAAGUGUUAAGUAGGCCGCCUGGGGAGUACGGUCGCAAGGCUAAAACUCAAAGGAAUUGACGGGGGCUCACACAAGCGGUGGAGCAUGUGGAUCAAUUCGAAGCAACGCGUAGAACCUUACCUGGGUUUGACAUGCAUGUAUGCUUGCUUGGAAACAGGUUAAGCUGCCCUUCGGGGUGAAACUUGCACAGGUGCUGCAUGGCUGUCGUCAGCUCGUGUCGUGAGAUGUCGGGUUAAGUCCUUUAACGAGCGAAACCCUUGCCGUUAGUU